rnacentral:rRNA from 1 species
GAACGAGAAAGUCCGCAAGGAUGAGUAAAGUGGCGACCGGGUGAGUAACACGUGACUAACCUGCCCUAGAGUGGGGGAUAACCUCGGGAAACCGGGGCUAAUACCGCAUAACAUCGCGAGGGGAAGAUCCUUGCGAUCAAAGGAGCAAUUCGCUCAAGGAGGGGGUCGCGGCUGAUUAGCUAGUUGGUGGGGUAAUGGCCCACCAAGGCGACGAUCAGUAGCUGGUCUGAGAGGAUGAUCAGCCUCACUGGGACUGAGACACGGCCCAGACUCCUACGGGAGGCAGCAGUGGGGAAUAUUGGACAAUGGGCGCAAGCCUGAUCCAGCCAUGCCGCGUGGGUGAUGAAGGCCCUAGGGUUGUAAAGCCCUUUCGGCGGGGAAGAUAAUGACGGUACCCGCAGAAGAAGCCCCGGCUAACUUCGUG